GAGUUUGAUCCUGGCUCAGGACGAACGCUGGCGGCGUGCUUAACACAUGCAAGUCGAACGGAAAGGCCCUGCUUUUGUGGGGUGCUCGAGUGGCGAACGGGUGAGUAACACGUGAGUAACCUGCCCUUGACUUUGGGAUAACUUCAGGAAACUGGGGCUAAUACCGGAUAGGAGCUCCUGCUGCAUGGUGGGGGUUGGAAAGUUUCGGCGGUUGGGGAUGGACUCGCGGCUUAUCAGCUUGUUGGUGGGGUAGUGGCUUACCAAGGCUUUGACGGGUAGCCGGCCUGAGAGGGUGACCGGCCACAUUGGGACUGAGAUACGGCCCAGACUCCUACGGGAGGCAGCAGUGGGGAAUAUUGCACAAUGGGCGGAAGCCUGAUGCAGCAACGCCGCGUGCGGGAUGACGGCCUUCGGGUUGUAAACCGCUUUCGCCUGUGACGAAGCGUGAGUGACGGUAAUGGGUAAAGAAGCACCGGCUAACUACGUGCCAGCAGCCGCGGUAAUAC
rnacentral:rRNA from 1 species